rnacentral:ncRNA from 1 species
UAGUAGGCUGAUGGAUUGAGAGAUGAAGGCCGAGAGGCUGGAUGGAAGUCCGGAAAAAUGCGGGAGUAGGUAUGUGGCGUAAGGAUAAUAAUCCAUGAAGGGCGAGAGGUUCGUCCUGGUUCCCGCAAGGCAGACAGGGGAGAUAGUGCUUCUCUUAUGAGAAGGGCGUCGUGAACACAGUUUAAGUGGCUCGUCUGUAGCUCCCGGAGCUGAGUACACCUUUACGUAUACGGGGCGAUGAGGGGUUGAAAAGACCGGCGUAUACCUUAA